GUGAUCACUUUGGCAGCACAUACAUUCAAAUUGGAUCUAUACAGGGAUGAUUAACAUGGCCCCUGACAAGAAUGACACUCAAAUUUUUAAAGUGUUUCAUAUUCUU